rnacentral:rRNA from 1 species
GACGAACGCUGACGGCGUGCUUAACACAUGCAAGUCGAACGGAAAGGCCCUGCUUGCAGGGUACUCGAGUGGCGAACGGGUGAGUAACACGUGGGUGAUCUGCCCUGCACUUCGGGAUAAGCCUGGGAAACUGGGUCUAAUACCGGAUAGGAGCCAUUUUUAGUGUGAUGGUUGGAAAGUUUUUUCGGUGUAGGAUGAGCUCGCGGCCUAUCAGCUUGUUGGUGGGGUAAUGGCCUACCAAGGCGGCGACGGGUAGCCGGCCUGAGAGGGUGGACGGCCAAAAUGGGGACUGGGUAACGCCCAGGCCCCCUACGGGGGGCGGAGGUGGGAAUUAUGGACCAUGGGGGGAAGCCUGAAGCAGCGAAGGCGGGGGGGGGGUGACCGGCCUCGGGUUGUAAACUCCUUUCGCUAGGGACGAAGCUUUUUGUGACGGUACCUAGAUAAGAAGCACCGGCUAACUACGUG